AAAGAGGAUAUAAAGUCGUGAUUGCUAAUAGUGUCGAGUCAGAAGAAAGUUGCAACCAUCUCCGUCGCAUCCUUCUGAGGGAUCGAUUGUUCCUUGAGGAGCAGUUCCAAAUGGUUUCAACAAGGAAUCGUGUUGGUCGGUCACGUUCCCUCGACGAGCAGAAUAUUAUCGAUGUCAAUCCUCCAGUUGGCGCUUGAGGAGGUCGACUUAAAGUUAAAGAAGCUACGGCUGUUACCAGCGUGAAUUCCACGUUACAUUUCGUCCGGAUGGCCUAAGUGAUUGAAAGGGUCAAACAGUGAUUGAGGAUACACUUUCAUGUAAAUGGAAACAAUCGCAAUAUCCAGCAGCAGAACGAGAAAUGUUUCCAAUUUCCAUGGUCUGGAGUGCAAUUGUCUGCGUAACAGUUGAUAGCUACAGUUAUGAACACAUACUGGCCGUCGUUUGCAUGAAUAUACAUAUGUACUAUGAGUAAUUUGUGGCGAUAACGAUACUACGACCUUCCAACACCUGGCGAUGAACUGUUUCCAGUUAUCAAUCCGUAAACCGUAUUAUCUGGAAUGAUAAAGGGGACAGAACGAAUUGCAACUGGAAAAUUUCGUUAGUCCCGCUGCUGUCGUCGUUUAUUUUUCAAUUUCAGGCGUUAAACGUGUCAGCAUGGGUGAGAAUGAACUCUAUGCUAUCAAGCAAAAUAUAGUGCCACGAUUUAGAAAGUAAUUUCGCCUGCAAUGCUCUGCAAUGCAGCUAUGGAAAAGUUUUAUUAGAAAAUUCGAUUUUCAA